rnacentral:rRNA from 1 species
GACGAACGCUGGCGGCGUGCUUAACACAUGCAAGUCGAACGGAGAGGCCCUGCUUUUGUGGGGUGCUCGAGUGGCGAACGGGUGAGUAACACGUGAGUAACCUGCCCUUGACUUUGGGAUAACUUCAGGAAACUGGGGCUAAUACCGGAUAGGAGCUCCUGCUGCAUGGUGGGGGUUGGAAAGUUUCGGCGGUUGGGGAUGGACUCGCGGCUUAUCAGCUUGUUGGUGGGGUAGUGGCUUACCAAGGCUUUGACGGGUAGCCGGCCUGAGAGGGUGACCGGCCACAUUGGGACUGAGAGACGGCCCAGACUCCUACGGGAGGCAGCAGUGGGGAAUAUUGCACAAUGGGCGGAAGCCUGAUGCAGCAACGCCGCGUGCGGGAUGACGGCCUUCGGGUUGUAAACCGCUUUCGCCUGUGACGAAGCGUGAGUGACGGUAAUGGGUAAAGAAGCACCGGCUAACUACGUG